rnacentral:lncRNA from 1 species
GCAGGAAUACAAAAUUAUUAUAAACUUUUUCAAGUUAUUUUAUUAACAUUGGUAAAAAUUAUUAUAAACUUUUUCAAGUUAUUUUAUUAACACUGGUAGGAGAGUCUGAGUCUCUACUAAAUUCUAUAAAGUUCGUAAAUCCUUGCUACCGUGAUUCAUUUUUUCUUUAACGCAUAUAUCCAUGGAAUGGGCGGCUCCCACGCUAGCUUAUUAUUAACAAGUUUCUCGGUUUCCGAUCUUUUUAAAAUCUCUAAAGUUUCCGGUAUAGUUGGGUGCUCUUGCUUUUUUAACGGCCUAACACAAUCAACUUCAUUCCAUUUGAUGGUGACAUUGCCUUCGUACGCUCGACAUGCUAAGGCUGUACUAAGGUUAGCUUCCCUGAUAUCUCUCCUGUGCUCGUCCAUGCGUCUCUCUAU